AUCUUCAACCUCAGGUUUAUCAAGCUACAAUUCCAGAUCAGAAGAAAUUAGAUAUUUAUCGACUUAAGCAAUGCGACAAUCGACAUAUGUUCAUGGAGUUCGACAAAAGAAGAUUCAGAUCUAAAAUUGGUAACUCUAGUGUUACAAAAUCUAAAACCAGUCACUGAGAUCGAGGUAGGAAGAAAUCAA